AUACGUAGGUGGCGAGCGUUGUUCGGAUUUAUUGGGCGUAAAGGGUCUGUAGGAGGUUUGCUAAAUACGAGGUGAAAUCCGGGAGCUCAACUCCCGAAUUGCCUUGUAGACUGGCAGACUGGAGUACUGGAGAGGUAAGCGGAAUACCAGGUGUAGCGGUGGAAUGCGUAGAUAUCUGGUAGAACACCAAGAGCGAAGGCAGCUUGCUGGACAGUUACUGACUCUCAAAGACGAAAGCGUGGGGAGCAAACAGGAUUAGAUACCCUGGUAGUCCACGCCGUAAACGGUGUCAACUUGAUGUAGGGCGGUUCAGUCCGUUCUGUAUCGAAGCUAACGCGUUAAGUUGACCGCCUGGGGACUACGGCCGCAAGGCUAAAACUCAAAUGAAUUGACGGGG
rnacentral:rRNA from 1 species